rnacentral:rRNA from 1 species
UGGGGAAUUUUGGACAAUGGGCGAAAGCCUGAUCCAGCAAUGCCGCGUGUGUGAAGAAGGCCUUCGGGUUGUAAAGCACUUUUGUCCGGAAAGAAAUCCUUGGCUCUAAUACAGUCGGGGGAUGACGGUACCGGAAGAAUAAGCACCGGCUAACUACGUGCCAGCAGCCGCGGUAAUACGUAGGGUGCAAGCGUUAAUCGGAAUUACUGGGCGUAAAGCGUGCGCAGGCGGUUUGCUAAGACCGAUGUGAAAUCCCGGGCUCAACCUGGGAACUGCAUUGGUGACUGGCAGGCUAGAGUAUGGCAGAGGGGGGUAGAAUUCCACGUGUAGCAGUGAAAUGCGUAGAGAUGUGGAGGAAUACCGAUGGCGAAGGCAG